rnacentral:lncRNA from 1 species
CGGCGUGAAUUCCUUGCAGGUAGAGGCGGGUCUCCAUGGCUGGCAGGGAGAGCUCCAAGCCAUGGCGGGGCUUUAGUUUUCCCUGGUAGAAAAGAGAGAAAGAGGAAGAUUCAGGGAGGAGGAGAGGUAGAGAGAAGAAGGUGCAGGUGCGAGCUUGGGGAAGAGGGAGCCUAACAUGUGCGUACAUCCUUGCUCCUUUUCUUCUUUCAGUUUUAGGUACUUUCCUGCAGGCGUGUACAUCCUUGUUCCUUCUCUUCUUUUGAUUUUAGCUACUCUCCAGUAUUCAAUUCUGUCAGCAGUUCUCAAGUAAAUGAACCGUAGAGAAUCAGCUAGAUAUUUUACUACUGUAAGCUGUGGAGUACUGAGAAUGGCAUUUAUAUUGCUGCAAAUGCAAUAUAUGAUUUAUGCAGCAGAGAGGAUGCCGCAAGGGGAGAGGAAUGGUGCAGUGAGAUUGAGGAAAACAGGACACAUCGGGACCCGGGAGCUCGAGAAGAGGCUCAAUCGAUCUCGACAAGAAGUGAUCUCCCCUUGGUGACAGUAUUAGAUGGCCUCCCUAGGCUCCUGUCAUAGACCUUGGUAUGUGUAUAUAUUUCAUUUCUUCAACGGUUUAUUGAUGCACGAGUAAGCUUGCAAAGCGACCUGGGUAUGUGGAUAGUUUUCACUUCUUCAACGGUUCAUUGAUGCAGGAGUAAGCUUGCGACCUAGGUAUGUGGAUAGAUUUCACUUCUUCAACGGUUCAUUGAUGCACGAGUAAGCUUGCGACCUGGGUAUGUGGAUAGAUUUCACUUCUUCAACGGUUCAUUGAUGCACGAGUAAGCUUGCAAAGCGGCAUCCUGCUUAUCUAGCUUUCUGUCCACUGCUGUCCAUGCAACUGGUAAUGACUGUGCAAGAGCCAAGCUUUAAUUUUUUUAUACAUCCGGCCUCUAAUCCCUGGCUAUUAAUUAUAUAUUUAAGCAAACAUAAGAUGACGAGACAUCAUUUAAUUUUAAGAGAAUCAAUAAAUUAUUGAAACUGAAAUGGUCAUAUAUAUGAUGGUUUGAUCUGUCGGCCUUUUAUGUUUUUUUUCAGAAGCAUAAAAGAUAUAAGAAUCUCAUCUCCUUCUGGCGGAACGGCAGAGGGCUUGUCUGCUACCAGGGUGAUCCAAAGGGUGUAUCUAGGUAGCAUGUUUGUGGCCUCUUGCACUAACAUGAUUAAUGGUAGCUUCUAUUCCAUGACAUGAUUUUUGCAGCUGUAACAAUAUGUUUCAUGCAAGAGGACAUAAAUUUGCAUCCUAUUUUUCUGUCCAGUUAGUUCCAAAUUACAAAUGUUUGUGCUAUCACUGACAAUUUGGUGGAAAAAGAUGAGUCGUAUAUACACCCAGU